rnacentral:rRNA from 1 species
UACGUAGGGUCCAAGCGUUAUCCGGAUUCACUGGGUUUAAAGGGUGCGUAGGUGGGUCUGUAAGUCCGUGGUGAAAUCUCCGAGCUUAACUUGGAAACUGCCAUGGAUACUAUAGAUCUUGAAUACUGUGGAGGUUAGCGGAAUAUGUCAUGUAGCGGUGAAAUGCUUAGAUAUGACAUAGAACACCAAUUGCGAAGGCAGCUGGCUACACAAAUAUUGACACUGAUGCACGAAAGCGUGGGGAUCAAACAGG